rnacentral:misc_RNA from 1 species
GUAAAUAACAGUCUCUUUUACUAGAUCAUUCAUACAGACUAAUGUAAGGUACGCAUAUUUCCAGUUCACAUUUAAACUUCUAUUACAUAAAUCAGUCACCCUUCCACGGUCAAUGUUACACCUUUUUCAAAACUAAUUAAUAGCACAAUAAAAUGAGUCAACAAACAAAAUGUUUGUGGGAGUUCUCUCUUUUCCUUAAUUGCCCAAAAAAAGAGUAACGCAAUUAGAAAAUAAUCCAGUUGAAAAGAUCAUUCACACAAUACCAAGGAACAAAGGUUCACAUGCUACAAUAAAGAAAUUGAUCCAUUUCACAUUUGACCUGAUCAUUUGAAUAUUUCUGAAAGUAGAAACUAGAUGAAAUUCAUAGGAUGAGAUUCAAGAUCAGAAAAUUUCUUUCUGUCCUAUAAUGUUGACAAUCUUUUACUGCCAUCAUCAGAACAGCAUUAUCCAUGUUCUUUUUCUACCUUCUCAUUGCUUUUAUGAAGCAAAAUGUCGCUAACAUACAAGAGUUAUAAUUAUUAUUUUCCUCUAAACUUCUAUCCCCCAUGCCUAAUCUUCUCCUCUACAAUGACUUCAUCCCUUCCUGAUUUUGGCACCUAUUCCCACUUCACCAUCAAUUUGCUACCUUUUAAUCCUCUAUCAAAUUCCCACUGCUUAUUCAAUUAUUGAAUAUGAAUCUAGAGUAUGAUUGGUCUUCCAUCCAAAAACUUUAAUCAAAUGACCAACAUUUAUCAAUCGCUUCCACUCGGAUAUCCUAUUACAGCCAGUCUUUUACUUUAAACCAAUGGAUACUGAAUUAUGUUGUCAAGCUUCGAGUUUUACAUAUUUGAAAAAAGGCUGUACCCAAGCUAUUUAGAACCAUAUCAUUUAAAAUAACACAUAUAACAAGGUGUGGAAGCUCAUCA